rnacentral:rRNA from 1 species
CCUACGGGAGGCAGCAGUGAGGAAUAUUGGUCAAUGGACGAGAGUCUGAACCAGCCAAGUAGCGUGAAGGAUGACUGCCCUAUGGGUUGUAAACUUCUUUUAUAAAGGAAUAAAACGAGGCACGUGUGCCUUUUUGCAUGUACUUUAUGAAUAAUGAUCGGCUAACUCCGUGCCAGCAGCCGCGGUAAUACGGAGGAUCCGAGCGUUAUCCGGAUUUAUUGGGUUUAAAGGGAGCGUAGAUGGGUUGUUAAGUCAGUUGUGAAAGUUUGCGGCUCAACCGUAAAAUUGCAAUUGAUACUGGCAGUCGUGAGUACAGUUGAGGUAGGCGGAAUUCGUGGUGUAGCGGUGAAAUGCUUAGAUAUCACGAAGAACCCCGAUUGCGAAGGCAGCUUACUAAACUGUGACUGACAUUGAUGCUCGAAAGUGUGGGUAUCAAACAGGAUUAGAUACCCUGGUAGUC